rnacentral:rRNA from 1 species
GGUUCAUUCAAAUUUCUGCCCUAUCAACUUUCGACGGCUGGGUCUUGGCCAGCCAUGGUGACAACGGGUAACGGAGGGUUAGGGCUCGACCCCGGAGAAGGAGCCUGAGAAACGGCUACUACAUCCAAGGAAGGCAGCAGGCGCGCAAAUUACCCAAUCCCGACCGGGGAGGUAGUGACAAUAAAUACUGAUACAGGGCUCUUUUGGGUCUUGUAAUUGGAAUGAGUACAAUUUAAAUCCCUUAACGAGGAACAAUUGGAGGGCAAGUCUGGUGCCAGCAGCCGCGGUAAUUCCAGCUCCAAUAGCGUAUAUUAAAGUUGUGAGGUUAAAAAGCUCGUAGUUG